UGAGAACUCCAUGUGUACAGAGUGAAGAU
rnacentral:piRNA from 1 species